rnacentral:lncRNA from 1 species
CUUCCUGGAAAUGGAAUAAAAUGUUCAUCGUUCACCUUUCCUAGUAGUAAUUUGGUCAGAUUGGAAAGCAGAAAAACUUGAAUGAGAUGGGAGGACAUUGGUAUUGCCUCCGCGAAUUCAGAAGCUCUUUGAUCUGCUGUCAGUACCCACUCUGGCGGGCACAAUGGCCACACCUGUAACCAGCAACUGGGGAGGCUGAGGCAGGAAGGUUGCAAGUUCAAGGCCAGCCUCAGCAAUUUAGUGCAGCCCUAAGCAACUUAGCAAGAUCCUGCCUCAAAACAUUAAAAAGGUGGGGGGGGGGGGGCUAGGCAUGUAGCUUAGACAUCUCUAGUUCCAAAAUAAUGACAACACUACCACCCACUCUGGGUUUUCACAUCCACAGGCCUAUUAGCCUGUUGGGUUCUGCCUUCCUGGCUUUCCCUGUCCUCUGGGCUGGGCCCACCAUAGCCCUUGUGAAGCCUCCACGCUCCUCUCUCCCACGGGGACCUUCGGGCUGUAUGAUUCCUUAGCUCUAACCACAGUCCCUUGGGCAAUUUGGUUACUGCCUGGAUGAAAACGGCCCAUGUUUUCCAAGGCUGUGCGUGGCUUGAAAGGAGUGGCCAAGACAACAUAUUACUGGGGAUAGGACGCUGACAGCAUCUAGAGACUGGCUUGAGUCUGAGGCACUUUCAUUCUGUGUGAUGUACCUCUCUGAAACCACUUUCUACAGUGCUUCUCCCUUUCAGUGAGAUUUUUACAUGUCAUAUAUGUUUAGCAGUGUGCUUUGAACAAUUUAUUAAAUGAAAUUUUUUGUUGCUAUGGAUUUAAAGUCCUAAAUUUAGGGUGCUUUUUCUACAGAGAAUUUUAUAUAAUAAAAUACUGCAUUUAAAAUGGAGAUAGAAAAAACAGUAGAAUGAAACAAGACAUUAUUACUGUAUGUAUAUAUGUGAUUACACAACUAAUAUUAUUCUGCAACAUGUACACUAAGAAAAAUGAGAAAUUAUAUCCCAUCUAUGUAUAUUAAAGUGCAUAAAUACAAAGGAAAAUGGGUUUCAGUUCCC